rnacentral:rRNA from 1 species
CUUGAACGCUGGCGGCAGGCCUAACACAUGCAAGUCGAACGAGUGGCGGACGGGUGAGUAAUGUCUGGGAAACUGCCAGAUGGAGGGGGACAACUACUGGAAACGGUAGCUAAUACCGCAUACCAUCGGAUGUCCCCAGAUGGGAUUAGCUAGUAGGUGGGGUAAAGGCUCACCGAGGCGACGAUCCCUAGCUGGUUUGAGAGGAUGACCAGCCACUCGGGAACUGAGACACGGUCCAGACUCCUACGUGAGGAAGCAGUGGGGAAUAUUGCACGAGGGGCUAAAGCCUGAUGCAGCCGUGUCUCGUGUAUGAAGAAGGCCUUCGGGUUGUAGAGUACUUGCAGCGGGGAUGCGUUACUGGCAGAAGAAGCACCGGCUAACUCUGUGCCAGCAGCCGCGGUAAUUC